GGCCUCAAAUCAGGUAGGACUACCCGCUGAACUUAAGCAUAUCAAUAAGCGGAGGAAAAGAAACUAACAAGGAUUCCCCUAGUAACGGCGAGUGAAGCGGGAAAAGCUCAAAUUUAAAAUCUGGCGGUCUACGGCCGCCCGAGUUGUAGUUUAGAGAGGCGUCUUCCGCGUCGGACCAUGUACAAGUCCCUUGGAAUGGGGCGUCAUAGAGGGUGAGAAUCCCGUUCAUGACAUGGACUGCCGGUGCUAUGUGAUGCGCCCUCAAAGAGUCGAGUUGUUUGGGAAUGCAGCUCAAAAUGGGUGGUAAAUUCCAUCUAAAGCUAAAUACAGGCGAGAGACCGAUAGCGAACAAGUACCGUGAGGGAAAGAUGAAAAGAACUUUGGAAAGAGAGUUAAACAGUACGUGAAAUUGUUGAAAGGGAAACGC
rnacentral:rRNA from 1 species